rnacentral:rRNA from 1 species
CCUAGGGGCCCAAAUACCCUGAAGGCACCAGAUCCUGUCUGAUCUUCGAAGCUAAUUGGGUUGGAUCUGCUUAUUACUUGGAUGGGAGAUCACUAAAGAAUACCAGGUGCUAUAGACC